AUGAUCCCAGCGCGAGGGAGGACGGAGCGGGCGGGGGAUCCACGGCGACAUGGAGAGCGGGAAAAGGCCGCGGCUCGUCCCGCCUUAGCGGGGCCGGGAGGAGAGGAGAGGAGCGGGGGAACAGAGAGAGCGGGACAGAAAGAAGCGGCCUGCGCCGGCUGGUGUAACUGCGUCAGUCCAAGAUGGCGCAGGGUCUCCCUGGAGAGGGAAGGGAGCCGCACGUCCGCCGGAGGUCAUGUGACCGCGCUGCAUUCCUGUGGGCUUUGGCUGCCGCCCAACGCGGCUGGAGGCGGCGUCGGCGCUCGGGAGCUGCAGCUUCCCCUCCCCCAGCGCUGCCGUGGCCGCGUCGCUUCCCCUUCCCUUCCCCCCCGUAACCCCGCGCGAGGGCGUAGCCGCCGCCGAGGAAGGUUCUCGUCGCUCUCCUUCCUCCCCGCCCCUCUCCCGGGUGUAGUUGCGUUCUGGGGAGGCCUCCAUCCGCCCCGCGCCGCCGUAGCGCCCUCCUGGGCCUCCCCUCCCCGAUUGGCAACCUGGUGGGGCGUGAAGCUUGAAUUUCUGCUGGCUGCGUUAUGUUAAAGCAACUGGAAUGGAAGUUACUGAGUAUGUGACUAAUGUAGAAGAAUCCUGUACAAUAGACGCUACUUAAUGUGUUACAUAAGUAACGUGAGGUGGAGUCUGGUUGCAUAAGAAGCGGCUGGGGAUGGGGAGCUGCUGUACGCAGUCUGUAUGAGCUGCAAUUAGAGCCUGCAGGGUAUGUGUGCCGGGGAGGGGAGCAGUGGGCUUGGGAACAUCUGAUAGUGCUACAUUUUUCCUUUGUACCAGGAAAGAAGUUGAGGCAGUAAGAAAGGAUGACAGUGCGAAGCUUUUUAAAGUUAGGACUCUGGUCUGAGCUUAACUGCUGUGAUGUACAAUGUUGCCUGAAAGAAACCCCCCUUUUUUUGAGUGUCAGAUGGUGGCUGUCAGCUGAGCCUUGCAGCAGCCGGUUCUGUGGAAGGUCCUACACAGAGCAGGAUUCUUGCUAAUGCUAUUCAGACAAAUGAAGCACUGGCAGUAGUGUUAGGAGGAGGCCAUUGGUUUGUUGACCAAACAU
rnacentral:lncRNA from 1 species